rnacentral:rRNA from 1 species
UAGGGAAUAUUGCACAAUGGGGGAAACCCUGAUGCAGCGACGCCGCGUGAAGGAAGAAGUAUCUCGGUAUGUAAACUUCUAUCAGCAGGGAAGAAAAUGACGGUACCUGACUAAGAAGCCCCGGCUAACUACGUGCCAGCAGCCGCGGUAAUACGUAGGGGGCAAGCGUUAUCCGGAUUUACUGGGUGUAAAGGGAGUGUAGGCGGCUUAGCAAGUCAGAUGUGAAAGCCCGUGGCUUAACCGCGGAACUGCAUCUGAAACUGUUAGGCUUGAGUGCAGGAGAGGUAAGUGGAAUUCCUAGUGUAGCGGUGAAAUGCGUAGAUAUUAGGAGGAACACCAGUGGCGAAGGCGGCUUUCUGGACUGUAACUGACGCUGAGGCGCGAAAGCGUGGGGAGCAAACAGG